UUGAGCCGGAUGCAGGGUGAUCUGCUUGUCCGGUUCUUAGGGGGCCAUGGCGCAGCAAUGCGUCAUGGCUACCCGAC
rnacentral:ncRNA from 1 species